GAUGAACGCUAGCGGCAGGCCUAACACAUGCAAGUCGAACGGUAAGGUCCAGCUUGCUGGACACACGAGUGGCGCACGGGUGAGUAACGCGUAUGCAACCUACCUCUGACAGGGGGAUAGCCCGAAGAAAUUCGGAUUAAUACCCCAAAUACUGGCAUACUACCUGGUAUGCAAGUCAAAACUCCGGUGGUUAGAGAUGGGCAUGCGUGACAUUAGUUAGUUGGUGAGGUAACGGCUCACCAAGGCGACGAUGUCUAGGGGGCCUGAGAGGGUGGUCCCCCACACUGGUACUGAGACACGGACCAGACUCCUACGGGAGGCAGCAGUGAGGAAUAUUGCGCAAUGGAGGCAACUCUGACGCAGCCAUGCCGCGUGCAGGAUGACAGCCCUACGGGUUGUAAACUGCUUUUAUACAGGAAGAACUCUUCCGACGUGUCGGGAGUUGACUGUACUGUAAGAAUAAGCAUCGGCUAACUCCGUGCCAGCAGCCGCGGUAAUACGGAGGAUGCAAGCGUUAUCCGGAUUCAUUGGGUUUAAAGGGUGCGUAGGCGGGGAAAUAAGUCAGUGGUGAAAUCCUGCAGCUUAACUGUAGCACUGCCAUUGAUACUGUUUUUCUUGAGUUCGGUUGAGGUAGGCGGAAUGUGUAAUGUAGCGGUGAAAUGCUUAGAUAUUACACAGAACACCGAUUGCGUAGGCAGCUUACUAAGCCGAGACUGACGCUGAGGCACGAAAGCGUGGGGAGCAAACAGGAUUAGAUACCCUGGUAGUCCACGCUGUAAACUAUGAUCACUAGCUGUUGGCGAUACAAGGUUCAGCGGCAAAGCGAAAGCAUUAAGUGAUCCACCUGGGGAGACGAUCGCAAGAUU
rnacentral:rRNA from 1 species